GGAAUAUUGGUCAAUGGGCGAGAGCCUGAACCAGCCAAGUAGCGUGCAGGAUGACGGCCCUAUGGGUUGUAAACUGCUUUUAUGCGGGGAUAAAAUUCGUCACGUGUGGCGUUUUGCAGGUACCGCAUGAAUAAGGACCGGCUAAUUCCGUGCCAGCAGCCGCGGUAAUACGGAAGGUCCGGGCGUUAUCCGGAUUUAUUGGGUUUAAAGGGAGCGCAGGCGGGUUGUUAAGCGUGACGUGAAAUGUAGCCGCUCAACGGCUGAACUGCGUCGCGAACUGGCAGUCUUGAGUGAGUACGACGUCAGCGGAAUUCGUGGUGUAGCGGUGAAAUGCUUAGAUAUCACGAAGAACUCCGUUUGCGAAGGCAGCCAACAAGGCCUUUACUGACGCUAAAGCUCGAAUGUGCGGGUAUCGAACA
rnacentral:rRNA from 1 species